CGGGUGAGUAAUACAUCGGAACGUGCCCUGUAGUGGGGGAUAACUAGUCGAAAGAUUAGCUAAUACCGCAUACGACCUGAGGGUGAAAGUGGGGGACCGCAAGGCCUCAUGCUAUAGGAGCGGCCGAUGUCUGAUUAGCUAGUUGGUGGGGUAAAGGCCUACCAAGGCGACGAUCAGUAGCUGGUCUGAGAGGACGAUCAGCCACACUGGGACUGAGACACGGCCCAGACUCCUACGGGAGGCAGCAGGC
rnacentral:rRNA from 1 species